AACAAUAUAUAUCUCAACCUGUGCUCGUUGGACAUCAGCACACUGAUGACCAUAACCCCGGAAAGUAUCAGAAAUGCCAACCCCCUGAAUGUGGCUUCAUGUUCGUCUGACCAGAAGAGUGUCCUGUAUGAGAUCAGUAAUACUUCCUUCAGCUCAUAGCGCAGCCGUCCUGAGAUCUUUUACAAUUUAAUUAAAAGCUCUAUGGGCGGAGCACCUCUGUUAGAUGUGCAACAACUGUCAACUCAGGUCAUCAGCAUGGAUGUCAUCACUUUUAAGAGCCUGGUCCCCAGUGUGAUCGCAGCUUUGAAUGUGACCACAGUCCAAGGCCUCAUGGGUAGUCAGGUCAGCGAUCUCGAGUUGUUGCU